AGCGAACGCUGGCGGCAGGCCUAACACAUGCAAGUCGAACGAACCUUUCGGGGUUAGUGGCGGACGGGUGAGUAACACGUGGGAACGUGCCUUUAGGUUCGGAAUAACUCAGGGAAACUUGUGCUAAUACCGAAUGUGCCCUUCGGGGGAAAGAUUUAUCGCCUUUAGAGCGGCCCGCGUCUGAUUAGCUAGUUGGUUGAGGUAAUGGCUCACCAAGGCGACGAUCAGUAGCUGGUCUGAGAGGAUGAUCAGCCACAUUGGGACUGAGACACGGCCCAAACUCCUACGGGAGGCAGCAGUGGGGAAUCUUGCGCAAUGGGCGAAAGCCUGACGCAGCCAUGCCGCGUGAAUGAUGAAGGUCUUAGAAUUGUAAAAUUCUUUCACCGGGGACGAUAAUGGCGGUACCCGGAGAAGAAGCCCCGGCUAACUUCGUG
rnacentral:rRNA from 1 species